rfam:Eubacterium sp. CAG:202 genomic scaffold, scf206
GAAUAUAAAUUCGCUGUUCUAAAGACAGCAGGUGCAAUAUGCAUAAAGGUUAUACCGCCUGCCGAGGAAGAUGCAAUUUUACAUUAUUUUUGUAUUUUUGCGGCAGUCCGAGGUCUAAUCGGACUGCCUUGUUUUUUAAGAAC